UAAAGCUUUAUCAACAGGGAAAAUCAGAAACGUGCACCAGGUUACAGACUGAUGACGUGUACAUUACUACAGAAUGCCAGGCUCGCACUUUCAGAAUGAGUGCCUCGUGGGUAGUCCCCCAAGAGGCGGAGCCACCUGACAAUUGCCACCACGGACAGCCCUCCACAUAUAAAUCCAGAGAGUUUCCCACAGUUCCUGGUGCUUCAAUGUGAAAGUGCUCGGGAUUUUAAAUAAAGAAGAAAAAUAUGAAUGCACCUACCUUACUUCUGGGUUCACAAAAUGGCUGCAACAACACCACACGCAACUUCUGUGAUGUCACUUCUGGUUCCUGCACAGUGAUGUCACUUCCGGCCAUCUCUGAUAACAUCACUCCCAGCGCUGCCAUAAUGACAUCACUUCCGGCCAUUCCCAAUGACGUCAUUUCCUUCCACCAUUUUGUCUAU